rnacentral:rRNA from 1 species
GUGCCAUGGCGCAGCUAACACAUGCAAGUCGAGCGGUAGAGAGAAGCUUGCUUCUCUUGAGAGCGGCGGACGGGUGAGUAAUGCCUAGGAAUCUGCCUGGUAGUGGGGGAUAACGUUCGGAAACGGACGCUAAUACCGCAUACGUCCUACGGGAGAAAGCAGGGGACCUUCGGGCCUUGCGCUAUCAGAUGAGCCUAGGUCGGAUUAGCUAGUUGGUGAGGUAAUGGCUCACCAAGGCGACGAUCCGUAACUGGUCUGAGAGGAUGAUCAGUCACACUGGAACUGAGACACGGUCCAGACUCCUACGGGAGGCAGCAGUGGGGAAUAUUGGACAAUGGGCGAAAGCCUGAUCCAGCCAUGCCGCGUGUGUGAAGAAGGUCUUCGGAUUGUAAAGCACUUUAAGUUGGGAGGAAGGGUUGUAGAUUAAUACUCUGCAAUUUUGACGUUACCGACAGAAUAAGCACCGGCUAACUCUGUGCCAGCAGCCGCGGUAAUACAGAGGGUGCAAGCGUUAAUCGGAAUUACUGGGCGUAAAGCGCGCGUAGGUGGUUUGUUUAAGUUGGAUGUGAAAUCCCCCGGGCUCAACCUGGGAACUUGCUUU